AACGAACGCUGGCGGCGCGCCUAAUACAUGCAAGUCGAGCGAGAAGGUGUAGCAAUACACUUGUAAAGCGGCGAACGGGUGAGGAAUGCAUGGGUAACCUACCCUCGAGUGGGGAAUAACUAGCCGAAAGGUUAGCUAAUACCGCAUACGUUUCCGGAACUUCGGUUUCGGAAAGAAAGCAAUACCGUGGGUAUUGCGCUCCUGGAUGGGCUCAUGUCCUAUCAGCUUGUUGGUGAGGUAACGGCUCACCAAGGCUUCGACGGGUAGCUGGUCUGAGAGGACGAUCAGCCACACUGGCACUGCGACACGGGCCAGACUCCUACGGGAGGCAGCAGUAAGGAAUAUUGCGCAAUGGACGAAAGUCUGACGCAGCGACGCCGCGUGGGUGAUGAAGGCCU
rnacentral:rRNA from 1 species